GAUGAACGCUGGCGGCGUGCCUAAUACAUGCAAGUCGAGCGAACAGACGAGGAGCUUGCUCCUCUGACGUUAGCGGCGGACGGGGGAGUAACACGUGGAUAACCUACCUAUAAGACUGGGAUAACUUCGGGAAACCGGAGCUAAUACCGGAUAAUAUAUUGAACCGCAUGGUUCAAUAGUGAAAGACGGUUUUGCUGUCACUUAUAGAUGGAUCCGCGCCGCAUUAGCUAGUUGGUAAGGUAACGGCUUACCAAGGCGACGAUGCGUAGCCGACCUGAGAGGGUGAUCGGCCACACUGGAACUGAGACACGGUCCAGACUCCUACGGGAGGCAGCAGUAGGGAAUCUUCCGCAAUGGGCGAAAGCCUGACGGAGCAACGCCGCGUGAGUGAUGAAGGUCUUCGGAUCGUAAAACUCUGUUAUUAGGGAAGAACAAAUGUGUAAGUAACUAUGCACGUCUUGACGGUACCUAAUCAGAAAGCCACGGCUAACUACGUG
rnacentral:rRNA from 1 species